AUUGAACGCUGGCGGCAGGCCUAACACAUGCAAGUCGAGCGGAUGAAGGGAGCUUGCUCCUGGAUUCAGCGGCGGAAGGGUGAGUAAUGCCUAGGAAUCUGCCUGGUAGUGGGGGAUAACGUCCGGAAACGGGCGCUAAUACCGCAUACGUCCUGAGGGAGAAAGUGGGGGAUGUUCGGACCUCAUGCUAUCAGAUGAGCCUAGGUCGGGUUAGCUAGUUUGUGGGGUAAAGGCCUACCAAGGCGAUGAUCCGUAACUGGUCUGAGAGGAUGAUCAGUCACACUGGAACUUGAACACGGUCCAGACUCCUACGGGAGGCCGCAGUGGGGAAUAUUGGACAAUGGGCGAAAGCCUGAUCCAGCCAUGCCGCGUGUGUGAAGAAGGUCUUCGGAUUGUAAAGCACUUUAAGUUGGGAGGAAGGGCAGUAAGUUAAUACCUUGCUGUUUUGACGUUACCAACAGAAUAAGCACCGGCUAACUUCGUG
rnacentral:rRNA from 1 species